AACGAACGCUGGCGGCAUGCCUAACACAUGCAAGUCGAACGAGACCUUCGGGUCUAGUGGCGCACGGGUGCGUAACGCGUGGGAACCUGCCCUUAGGUUCGGAAUAACUCCCCGAAAGGGGUGCUAAUACCGGAUAAUGUCUUCGGACCAAAGAUUUAUCGCCUUUGGAUGGGCCCGCGUUGGAUUAGCUAGUUGGUAGGGUAAAAGCCUACCAAGGCGACGAUCCAUAGCUGGUCUGAGAGGACGAUCAGCCACACUGGGACUGAGACAUGGCCCAGACUCCUACGGGAGGCAGCAGUGGGGAAUAUUGGACAAUGGGCGAAAGCCUGAUCCAGCAAUGCCGCGUGAGUGAUGAAGGCCUUAGGGUUGUAAAGCUCUUUUACCCGGGAUGAUAAUGACAGUACCGGGAGAAUAAGCUCCGGCUAACUCCGUG
rnacentral:rRNA from 1 species